ensembl:lncRNA
AUGAGACCUCGUGAUUAUUUUAUUUUGUUAUUUAGGGACAGCUUCAAAUUUACACUCUCACUUCCGGGCUGUCCAUCACACACGUGUUGGGUCCGGUUGGGUCCUAGCGACGCCAGUGGUAGGUCACUGGGAGGAAACGCUCCGACCAGUAGAGGAAACGUUGUUUUUAAUUUGCAACUUUUACGCUGUCCCAUGGCCGGUUUUCAGUCCGGGUGGCCGGGUCGUCCAGGCACUGUGUUCUACGAGGAGCCCGUUUCCAUCCCGGGUUACAUUUUGGAUGUGGCGGGCCCACCACCACGCCUUUAUUACGUUGAGAGGCGCCGGGCGAUGGAGCCAAGGAAGUUCCUUCUUCAAAAGUCUUUGUUUGAGUUGGUGGUUAGUCGCCACGUUGUGCGGUUAACGGACCCAGAUUUGCUACAGUGGUAUUUCAGUUUGUCCCUGGAAGACAAGAAGAUCAUACAGGAUGAAGGAGGUUUUCCUCAGUUCCUGCAGGGACAUCCAGCCUUGGACCUCUAUCAAGAUCAUGCUUCUGUGAAAGGAAUGCCACACUCUCAGCCGUUAGAGGUGCUUCCCAAUAACGCGAGGGAGAGUUCUGCACCAUUUGUUUGUGUGAACAACAGAAGUAAACCUCAACAGCUAGGUGAAGAAAUCUGCCACAACCCCCCUGUUGUCAACAGGCCUACUUACUACCACCCCCUGAACCAGAGCCAGCCCAAGAUGAACUGUGCAGCUGUGGACCGCUUGCCUCUGAACAUGGAGCUGGAGAGACACAGCCAGGUACAGAACCCUGAGCUCUGGAACCUGAACUGGAUGCCACCGAUUCAGAGUGUUGCAUUCACAGACCCCGGAGUCAGCCCAUCACAAACGGCGUGGCCAGCAGUGAGACCGACUCCAGAGCAGCACCAUGAUGGCAGCAUGCUGCGUUCACUGGGCACGACCAGUCCUUCCCAGCCAGUGCAGCCCCAGAAGGUCCACUGUCGGGAAGGAGACGCUGUCUGUGGCAACAUCGCUGCAGACAAAGACAAAGCGUGCAAGUUAGGCUUGAAAGAUCAGAGUGAUAAACUCCACACCAUCAUGGAGAUGGAUGAAGGCAUCCUGAUGUGUUUGCCCAGGGUGGGCACGUCAACACAUGAUGCUGCAGUGCAGUGCAGUCUAGUCUGUGUCAACCAGCACACACAAGCACCCACCAGCGGCGCAGAGGAGAACACCGACCGUGUCGGGUUCACUUCCGCUCACACCCAAACUGAAGCUCCAGAGAAGGCCGAGCAGCUCGUCAACACAGAGGUCCGCAUGUCAGACAUGGACUACUUUGCUAAGGAGUUCAUCAAACUCAAGAUCUCUCAGGAAUGCAAGAAGCCAAAAGAGAAAAUCAAAAGAACCUCCCAAGAACCUCCACUGAGGCAUGAAACAGCUGAGAAAGCAGGAUGCCCCGCUGAUGGAGGCAGAAACAGUCAUCUGAUGAGGCAAAACGAAGCUGAAGCUCUGAAAGAGGAAAAGGACAAAAGCAGGAGGACUGCAGCCGUUUCCCCUAACACUGGAGGUGUUGGCCAAAGCAAAAAACCAGAAGAGCACAUCAAAUCCAAGAAGGUGAACAUUGACAAGGUGUGGUAUGAUGCUGAAGAGUAUCUGCAGCCCUCAGAACCUGCUGAAGCUGCAGAGGUCACGAUGAGCCCAGGCGAGACUGAUGAGUCAGUCCGUGAUGAGGGCAGCAGCUCUGAACUGUGGGCAUCCUACUUGCCCAGUGACAUGACACAGCACCUGAGUGGAGCAGCUAGGGACUGCUCUGCAGCUCUUGAUGGGUCAACGAUCUCGCCGACGGCUUCAGGAGCUCAAACCUCCUGGGGUGACUCGAGCAGCACUGAAACAAAGCUGCUAGCUGAGCUGCAUCUCAGCGCCAGCAUCGGGAGGAAGACGCUUGUGAGCGUCACGCCCACUGCAGAGGGAACCUUUUUGCCCCAACACUUCGGCACCAUGAGCAGCUUGGACACCCUCAUGGCUGAGCUGGCCCAGCUCCACCCACACGUUGACAGACAGAGAAUCAUGGAUGCUCUGAUGGAGCUGAAGGCCACACUCGGGAGAGUCAUGAUCACCCUGCCUCUCAGAAACAUCAGAGACAUGACCUCUGACCUGCUAAACAAGCCCCCAGUGCCACACGCUCAUAAAGAAGACCCACAGAGUUUCUGUUGA